UACAAAGGGGGCAAGCAUUGUUCGGAAUUACUUGGCGUAAAGGGCGCGUAGGCGGCGCGUUAAGUCAGGUGUGAAAGCCCUGGGCAAAACCCAGGAAUUGCACUUGAUACUGACGUGCUUGAAUCCGGAAGAGGAUGACGGAAUUCCCAGUGUAGAGGUGAAAUUCAUUGAUAUUGGGAAGAACACCAGUAGCGAAGGCGGUCAUCUGGUCCGGUAUUGACGCUGAGGCGAGAAAGCGUGGGGAGCAAACAGG
rnacentral:rRNA from 1 species